rnacentral:rRNA from 1 species
UGAGGAAUAUUGGUCAAUGGGCGAGAGCCUGAACCAGCCAAGUCGCGUGAAGGAAGACUGCCCGCAAGGGUUGUAAACUUCUUUUGUAUGGGAUUAAAGUCACCUACGUGUAGGUGUUUGCAGUUACCAUACGAAUAAGCACCGGCUAACUCCGUGCCAGCAGCCGCGGUAAUACGGAGGAUGCGAGCGUUAUCCGGAAUUAUUGGGUUUAAAGGGUGCGUAGGUUGCAAGGGAAGUCAGGGGUGAAAAGCUAUAGCUCAACUAUGGUCUUGCCUUUGAAACUCUCUAGCUAGAGUGUACUGGAGGUACGUGGAACGUGUGGUGUAGCAGUGAAAUGCAUAGAUAUCACACAGAACUCCGAUUGCGCAGGCAGCGUACUACAUUACAACUGACGCUGAAGCGCGAAAGCGUGGGUAUCAAACAGG